GCCUGAUAUAGAGACUGCCCAUAAGAUAAGGCUGAGCUUAAACCUUAUGUGUCGUCUAACUGAGCAGCAACACAAUAUCGGAAGACCACUAUGUCUAUAUUUUUUCUCAUGUAAAGUUCGUUAUCGACGACCAGCUAGUCACUAUCUUGGCUGAUGACGAAGAAGUGGGCUCAAGAAAGGUAGAAGUUGUGCAGCAUGUAGAGUCGGGACUUCAAUUCCUAUCGUAUCAGUUCCAGACAGUCAAUUGUAUCCCCCUCGACGCGAGGAAAACUUUGUUAUAAAUUAUCCCUUUUCUUAUCAGGCUCGGGACUAACAAGAAUGGUUGGGACAACAAACAUCCAUCUCGUUUGUAUUUUGGAUACCCGUAUAACCAUCGAAGGCUGUUGAAGUGACUAAUUCCUGGAAAUUAGGAGGCGUA
rnacentral:lncRNA from 1 species